GACAGAGGAUGCAAGCGUUGUCCGGAUUUAUUGGGCGUAAAGAGCGUGUAGGCGGCCAUGCAGGUCAGCUGUGAAAACUCGAGGCUCAACCUCGAGACGUCGGUUGAAACCGUAUGGCUAGAGUCCGGAAGAGGAGAGUGGAAUUCCCGGUGUAGCGGUGAAAUGCGCAGAUAUCGGGAAGAACACCUAUGGCGAAGGCAGCUCUCUGGGACGGUACUGACGCUGAGACGCGAAAGCGUGGGAGCAAACAGG
rnacentral:rRNA from 1 species